ensembl:misc_RNA Metazoa_SRP Metazoan signal recognition particle RNA
UCUGGGCACGGUGGCAUGUGCCUGUAGUCCCAGCUACUCAGGAGGCUGAGGUGGGAGGAUCGCUUGAGCCCAGGAGUUCUGGGCUGUAGUGCUCUAUGCCGAUCGGGUGUCAGCACUAAGUUUGGCAUCAAUAUGGUGACUUCCCGGGAGUCGGGGGGCCACCAGGUUGCCUAAGGAUGGGUGAACCAGCCCAGGUCAGAAAUGGAGCAGGUCAAAACUUCCGUGCUGAUCAGUAGUAGGAUUGUGCCUGUGAAUAGCCACUGCACUCCAGCCUGGGCAACAUAGCGAGAACCCAUCUCUU